UACGUAGGGGGCUAGCGUUGUCCGGAUUUAUUGGGCGUAAAGAGCGUGUAGGCGGCCAGGUAGGUCUGCUGUGAAAACUCGAGGCUCAACCUCGAGACGUCGGCGGAAACCAUCUGGCUAGAGUCCGGAAGAGGAGAGUGGAAUUCCUGGUGUAGCGGUGAAAUGCGCAGAUAUCAGGAAGAACACCGGUGGCGAAGGCGGAUCUCUGGGCCUUACCUGACGCUGAGGCGCGAAAGCUAGGGGAGCAAACAGG
rnacentral:rRNA from 1 species